UACGGAGGGAGCUAGCGUUGUUCGGAAUUACUGGGCGUAAAGCGCGUGUAGGCGGUCACGCAAGUCAGGUGUGAAAGCCCAGGGCUCAACCCUGGAAGUGCACAUGAUACUACGUGGCUGGAGUACUGAAGAGGAGAGCGGAAUUCCCGGUGUAGAGGUGAAAUUCGUAGAUAUCGGGAGGAACGCCAGUGGCGAAGGCGGCUCUCUGGGCAGAUACUGACGCUGAGACGCGAAAGCGUGGGUAGCAAACAGG
rnacentral:rRNA from 1 species